rnacentral:rRNA from 1 species
CCCACCGGGGUAUGCCUUAGUACGGCGAGUGAAGCGGCAAAAGCUCAAAUUUGAAAUCUGGUACCUUCGGUGCCCGAGUUGUAAUUUGGAGAGGGCAACUUUGGGGCCGUUCCUUGUCUAUGUUCCUUGGAACAGGACGUCAUAGAGGGUGAGAAUCCCGUGUGGCGAGGAGUGCGGUUCUUUGUAAAGUGCCUUCGAAGAGUCGAGUUGUUUGGGAAUGCAGCUCUAAGUGGGUGGUAAAUUCCAUCUAAAGCUAAAUAUUGGCGAGAGACCGAUAGCGAACAAGUACAGUGAUGGAAAGAUGAAAAGAACUUUGAAAAGAGAGUGAAAAAGUACGUGAAAUUGUUGAAAGGGAAGGGCAUUUGAUCAGACAUGGUGUUUUGUGCCCUCUGCUCCUUGUGGGUAGGGGAAUCUCGCAUUUCACUGGGCCAGCAUCAGUUUUGGUGGCAGGAUAAAUCCAUAGGAAUGUAGCUUGCCUCGGUAAGUAUUAUAGCCUGUGGGAAUACUGCCAGCUGGGACUGAGGACUGCGACGUAAGUCAAGGAUGCUGGCAUAAUGGUUAUAUGCCGCCCGUCUUGAAACACGGACCCA